rnacentral:rRNA from 1 species
UGGGGAAUAUUGGACAAUGGGGGCAACCCUGAUCCAGCAAUGCCGCGUGUGUGAAGAAGGUCUUCGGAUUGUAAAGCACUUUCGACGGGGACGAUGAUGACGGUACCCGUAGAAGAAGCCCCGGCUAACUUCGUGCCAGCAGCCGCGGUAAUACGAAGGGGGCUAGCGUUGCUCGGAAUGACUGGGCGUAAAGGGCGUGUAGGCGGUUUACACAGUCAGAUGUGAAAUCCCCGGGCUUAACCUGGGAGCUGCAUUUGAUACGUGUAGACUAGAGUGUGAGAGAGGGUUGUGGAAUUCCCAGUGUAGAGGUGAAAUUCGUAGAUAUUGGGAAGAACACCGGUGGCGAAGGCGGCAACCUGGCUCAUGACUGACGCUGAGGCGCGAAAGCGUGGGGAGCAAACAGGAUUAGAUACCCUGGUAGUCCACGCCUGUAAACGAUGUGUGCUAGAUGUUGGGUAA